CCUCUUUCUACUGCUAAUACCUCUCCCUAUACAACCAAGCAUUCUGCUAGCAUUUCCUGCUGCUCUAUUACAUUGUCUGCCUACCUUUAAGUCAUCAGAAAUAAUCACUCCUAAAUCCCUUUCUUCAGAUGUUGAGGUUAGGACUCUAUCAAAUAUUCUGUACUCUGCCCUUGGGUUUUUACGUCCAAGAUGCAAUAUCUUGCACUUAUCCACAUUAAAUGUCAGUUUCCACAACUCUGACCAUUUUUCUAGUUUACCUAAAUCAUUUGCCAUUUGGCUUAUCCCCCAUGGAUCAUCAACCCUGUUACAUAUCUUAGUAUCAUCAGCAAAAAGACAUACAUUACCAUGAAGACUUUCAGCAAAAAUAUUAAAAAGAAUGGGUCCAAGUACAGAUCCCUGAGGUACCCCACUUGUGACAAGCCUAUGCUUCAAAUAGACUCCAUUGAGUACAACCCUCUGUUGCCUGUCACUCAGCCACUGCCUUACCCAUUCAACAAUAUUGUAAUCCAAACUUAAAGAUUGCAGUUUAUUGAUAAGCCUUCAAUAAACUGCAGUCUUUAAAGGACCACUAUAGUGCCAGUAAAACAUAUUCGUUUUCCAGGCACUAUAGUGCCCUGAGGGAGCCCAC